GAUUAACGCUGGCGGCGUGCAUAACACAUGCAAGUCGAACGAAGUGGCGGACGGGUGAGUAACGCGUGAGUAACCUGCCUUAGAGAAGGGGAUAGCCUUUGGAAACGAAGAAUAAUACCCUAUACUCUAAGAUGGACUUGCGUCUGAUUAGUUAGUUUGUGGGGUAACGGCCCACCAAGACAGCGAUCAGUAGCCGGCUUGGUAGGGUGUACGGACACAUUGGAAUUGGGACACGGGCCAGACUCGACGGGAGGCAGCAGUGGGGAAUGUUGCACAAUGGGGGAAACCCUGAUGCAGCGACGCCGCGUGAUUUAGAAGGCCUUCGGGUUGUAAAAAUCUUUUAUAUGGGAAGCAGUACCAUAGGAAUAAGGACCGGCUAAUUACGUGCCAGCAGCCGCGGUAAUAC
rnacentral:rRNA from 1 species